CCCCUAGAUGUUCUGGGCCGCACGCGCGCUACACUGAACAGUUCAACAAGUCUUAACCUUGGCCGAUAGGUCUGGGUAAUCUUUGAACGCUGUUCGUGAUUGGGAUAGACCUUUGCAAUUAUGGGUCUUCAACGAGGAAUUCCUAGUAAACGCAAGUCAUCAGCUUGCAUUGAUUACGUCCCUGCCCUUUGUACACACCGCCCGUCGCACUUACCGAUUGAAUGGUCCGGUGAAAUCUCGGGACGGCGGCUUGGUCGCUUGCGUCCGACUGCUGAAACUUGAUUAAACCAUAUCAUUUAGAGGAAGGUGAANUCGUANCA
rnacentral:rRNA from 1 species